rnacentral:rRNA from 1 species
UAAGCCUACCCUAGCUCCACCAACCACAAUUAAAAACCCACUACCCCUGCCCAACUAAAACAUUACCCCCAACUUAGUAUAGGCGAUAGAAAAGUACAACCUGGACGCCAUAGAGACAGUACCGUAAGGAAAAGAUGAAAUAACAAUGAAAACCAAGGCACGACAUAGCAAAGAUAACCCCUUGUACCUUUUGCAUCAUGGAUCUAGCAAGAAAC